CCACUCUUCUACGUCUCCCUCACUUGAACCCUAACCCUAGCCGCCCUAACAUUCUCUACCAAAGCUCACCGGCAACCACCAUCCAAACCUUCUCCAAACCUACUGAAAAUCACACCCCAUAACCUCGCUUUCCUCCUCAUCUCAUAUAUCGCCUUAGUUCCUUCCAAAACACCUAAAAAUCCCGAAAUUCCAGAUCUAAGAAACAACCAGUUUGUUCAGAUUUUUUGGUCCGUUAUUUCCUCAGCGCUUGAGUUUAAAGGGUUCAUCUAUGUUGUUUUCUUGGUUUAUUGGACUCUCAUAAGUCUUUUCUUCUAAGAAAAUUUGGUCAAAACUCCAUGCAAGGCCGGAUUCCUUGGAGGAAAAAACCCUUGGGUGGUCGAUUGGCGUGGAAUAGGACAUCGUAGACUGUUUCACACAUUCUUCACCCAUGAACGGUAAAAGAUUUUUCACCACUCCCUUUCUCCGUCUUUCCUAUUUGAGUCAGCAAUUCAUACCCUCUUUAGUUUGUUAGUUUACUUGUUUUUCAGUCAUUCAUUUUUAUCCUCUAGUCAUGUUUAAUUAGGUUUAUUCUAGUUUAUUAAUUUGGUUAAUUAAAGUAUGCUUAGAUUAAUUAGUAAAUCGUUGGCUACCUCAGUAGUUAGUUGUUUGAUGAAUUUGAAAUCAUUUGAUAAGUUUGCUUGCCUAAUUGAUUAAUUGGUUAUAAAUUAGGUUUUGAGUAUGAUCGUCAGCUUAUUGCUUGUUUUAGUUCAUUAAUUCUAGUUUGAUUCUGUUUGUUAUCAAUUAAAAAUUUGGGGGGGUUAAAGGGUCGUAACAGAACCUUAGGGGAGUCAAUUGGAAAGUGAACAUGAGAAUUUAAUAUAAGGCAUUAGGAAGUUUCUAGAUUUUGGACAACUGUCCCAAUUUGUUAAUGAAAAAAUGCUGAAAUUGAAUAGAAAUGGACAGCUAUCCAUUUUUCUGUUAAAAAAGAUGCACUUUUCCUGAAAAUUAGGGUUGGUUGUAGAGAAUGAUUCUCUUAUCCUCACAUGGCAGAUUUCAUUCCACAUAUAUCUAGGACCCUCCUCUCUCUAAAAAAACACACGGAUCAGACACCUAAAAUCCCCCCUGAAAAUUCAGCUUCUUUUCCAUCAUCUUUUAAAGAUCAAUUUUAAGAUAGAUUUCAGAUUUGAAUCCCUCUUUUUUGAAAAUAAUGAAUUUUCUUCUCAUUGAACAAUGACCUUGCUUUUUUAUUGGUUUUGAGAUUACAGUUGGAUUUUUGGUUUUGAAAUCAAGUGUGUUGUCCUCUAGUGUCAUUUGCUGGGUUGUUUAAGUUGUCCUUUAGCUAUUUUUUCCUGCUGUUUACUGCUGUUACUCGUUGAUUUCAAAGACAUCUUUCUUAUUCUGUUCACUUGCUAUAUCCAGAUAUUUCUUUGAACCUUGAAUGACAAUAUAAUGUAAGCAUAUUUGUGUGGAAGAUGUAUCUGUGCUGUGAAAUCAAUGAAGUUACUCGUGUUGGACUUUAGUUUUUUUUACGUUCUUUUGAGCCAUUCAGUUCUUUCCUCUAACUUCUUCCCUAUUUAGCUCUUACUUAAAUACGAUAAAUCUGUUGUGUUUAGUCAAUGUUUAGUUAGAUAUUCUGUGUCAAAUGUCUAGUAGUUCAUCCUUCAUGUACUGGGUCUACUUGAAAGUUUAGUUCGUUGAUGACAAAUGUAUGAUGUAAUUAGCUCAUCUUUGUCUGUUCAUUGAAUUGGGGUAUUGACUAAUAUGCUGGCCAUGAUUCAUUUGGUAAAAUUAAGGGAUCAGUUCUGAUGCCCCAACUUCAUGUACUCCUAGGAAAAGAAACUUCUUGGUUAAAUCGUCUUUCAGAUGUGUCUCCUUAGCAUUCAUGUAUAGUUAGUGUGACUGAAUUAAUUAUAAUAUUGGACUUUUACUUCACAGUUUUGUUCCAGUUUGAGUAACUGUUAAGUAUUUGGGUUAAUUAACAAUUCUUGUUCCUGUCUGAGGAAAUGACUGGCUCUUAUGGUUAAAAAUGUUCUGUUCGUGUUGUCCCUCUAUUUCGUAAAAAGUAAGGCAAAAGUCGUCAGUUUGGGUAGUGCCAGGUUAGCUUCUGGUACCUUAGGUGGAACGUUUUUUUGAUUGAAACCUUUCAAAACAUAUACUGCCUUUAUUAGAUUCACAGUUGGAAAUUUUUUAAAUGUUUAGUUUAAGUUUAUUUGUAGUAAUUAUUAGCCAAAAAGAAAAGCAGCAAAUUGAAAUCUUGAGAAAAACGUGCAUCCUAGUUAUUAGAAGAUUUUGGGUUGGAAUAAGCCCAUCGCACUUUGGGCUUUUAGUUGAAUGCAGGUUUUUAAUCUCAAACUUAGGAAAGAAAAAAAUCAUGAAUAUUCGUAGAAAAUGCUUUAGGCGUGAUUUAAGCUAUCAUCGUGGUUGUGUACACGUUCACGUGACAUAAUUACGAUACUAAAAACAAAAUCGGGGUAUGCGUUCGCACAAAUUUGGCCAAAAUUUCUUAAUAUUAAUAAAGCGUUAUUAAUUAUGGAUACGUAUGAAUGACAUGAUUCUUGACACACCAAACAAAGGAGUACACGUACGCGUGCCUCGUUUUUCUUCUUAAAUUAAAAGAGAAAAUGUACAUAGGUUCUAAAAUAAAUAAUUAGAUAAUUUAAUUAAGCCAAGUAUAAUUAAAGUGACCAUCCUAAAAUCACAGAACCCGAAAAUGCCUAAUACCUUCUACUGAAUUAACAGAAUUCCUUACCCGGAUUUCUGUGUUUCGUGAACUGUAAAACAGAGUCAAACUUCGUCGAUUCGGGAUUUUAAACCGGUGACUUGAGACACCAUAAAUUAUCCCAAGUGGCGACUCUGAAUCUGAAUAUAAAUAAUCCCGUUUCGAUUAUUGUCACUUUAAUUAGAAAAACUCCCUAUCCUCUCGGGAAAAAGGAGGUGUAACAGCUCUGGCAACUCUGCUGGGGAUCGAACCCAGAAUCUCUGGUUCGGGGUUCAGAAUUCGAGCUUGUUAAUAUGACCUAUGCUUGGCUUUAUUUUUUGUUGAUAGUACUGUAUUUAUGGGCCUAAUAUGCUAAUUGCUGGUUAUUUACCGCUUUGCUAUUAUUUGAACUGUAUUAAACUGUCUUCUUACGUCUCCCUUCUGAGUCUUCUAAAAAUAUGGUGCACACGUAUGCGUAGCCCACUUUCUUGUUAGAAGUCAUAUAAAAUAGAACGAGGCUGGAUAAGCAACUAGAUCGAGUAGACUUUCGUGCUUCCGGUACGUUGCCCCCACCUCGGCUCGAGCUGUCCGCUUGGAUAAGCUAUGUCUAGAACACACACCCCCAGGUUUAAACCUAGAAUGACAUAACCUCAUACCGAAUCCCUAGUAGACACGUUUGUUUGCACUAUGUGCAUUUGACUUUGGGGACUCAACACAGGGGUUGAGUUCGUUUAGGACAGGUGUACCCAAAAUUAAAAGACCAUUCUGGUGCAUCUUAUGUGCUACAUGUUGCAUUUGCCAGGGGUAAAAAGGAUCAUUUGACGGACCAAUGAUGGUUGAGGGUAAAUGAGAGAGAAAAGAGGGUGAAGUGUGAAAAUGAAGCAAGUAUGACCCAGUUAUGUUUUUCUUUCACAUUUUUUAAGGAAAAGACCAAAAAAAAAAAACUAAAAAAUCCCAAAGAAGAUUUUGCACUUUCCAAUCAUUUUUUUAAAAAAAAGAAAGACAAAAAAAAUGUUUUCACCAAAUCAUUUGUUUUAUUUUAUUUUAUUAUUCUCACCCGUAUCCAAUCCCCCCGAACUACACAUACCUGAUUCUGGUCUUUCGGGACGGGAUACGUAUGCAACCCACAUAGGUUCCGAUCUUUCUAGUGCUUCUUAGGUUCUUCGCUUCGAGGUUCGUUGCCAAAUCUUGCAUGUCUAGUCACUUUUGGCCACGUCGGCCGUUUUGCAAAAUAGGGAAAUUUUUGCAAAUUGGCUUGUUUACAAUUAGGUGUCUCAUUACUUUAAGGUCCGUUCUGGUCGAAUUUGCGAGUCUAGUCGCUUUUGGCCACAUCGGCUGUUGUUGCAAAAUGGGGUCAUUUUCGCAAAAGUGGUUCAGUGACCCACGUCUUAGAGUCCUCUUCGUUUAAGGUCCAUUCGUUUAAAUUUGCAUGCUUAGACAUUUUUUUGGGCCACGUAGGCCAUUUCUACAAAAUGGGUCAUUUCUGCAAAGUAAUUUUUCUAUGUCUUAGAGGCCACUUUUGUUGAGUUUGCACUUCUAACCACCUUUUGGGCCAUGUAGGCUAUUUUGAAAAAAUAGUCUCAAUCAUGUCUUGCCAGUGUCCAAUAGGAAGUGUAUUGUCUCACGUAGGGUUCUAAGUCUCUAGCUCUGUUUGAUUUUAUUUUUCUCAGUAGGUAUGGAUACAUUUAUCAGAGCUCGAGCAUGCCAGACGCCCAAGGACCCUCUUAGUUAGGACCGCUGCAUCCAGGAGUCGCUUAAGGAAUUUUUUUAUGUUUUGAGUCUAUUUCUUUUUAUGGUGUCUUGUACUUUGUAGUCACGUCCAGUAGUACUGAUUCUUUUAGUUGGUGUCAGAGUUUGUCAAGUCUCUCGUUAUCGUAUUUCUUAUUUUGUAUUUGAAAACCGAAAAAUGUUAUAAAUGAAAAAUCCAAAAAAAAGAUUUUUAUUUUAGUUUAUUUUGUCCAUUACUUUUCCAGAACUACAUUUGGUCUGAUUAAUAUGGGACAUGAUACGUAGGCAACCUAAAUAGGAUUUGAUCGAAUCGUUUUUGAAAAAAAGGAAAAAAGAGAUGACAUUAUAGGAGUUGAG
rnacentral:lncRNA from 1 species